rnacentral:lncRNA from 1 species
AUGCUGAGGAUGAAGCUGCCGCUGAAGCCGACGCACCCCGCGGAGCCGCCGCCCGAGGCUGAGGAGCCAGAGGCAGACGCGCGGCCGGGCGCGAAGGCGCCUCCGCGCCGCCGCCGCGACUGCCGCCCCCCGCCGCCGCCGCCGCCGCCGCCGCCUUCAGGCGCGCCGCGGGGCCCCCCGCUGCCGCCGCCGCCGCCGCCGCCGCCGCCGUCUCGGGGGCUCGGGCCGCCUGUUGCUGGCGGGGCGGCGGCGGGGGUGGGCAUGCCGGGCGGUGGCGCGGGGCCCGCGGCGGCGGCGCUGCGCGAGCAGGAGCGGGUAUACGAGUGGUUCGGGAUGGUGCUGGGCUCGGCGCAGCGUCUGGAGUUCAUGUGCGGGCUGCUGGACCUGUGCAACCCGCUGGAGCUGCGCUUCCUCGGCUCGUGCCUGGAGGACCUGGCGCGCAAGGACUACCACUACCUGCGGGACUCGGAGGCCAAGGCCAACGGUCUCUCGGACCCGGGCCCGCUGGCCGAUUUCCGAGAGCCCGCCGUGCGCUCGCGCCUCAUCGUCUACCUGGCGCUGCUGGGCUCGGAGAACCGCGAGGCCGCCGGCCGCCUGCACCGCCUCCUGCCCCAGGUGGACGCGGUGCUCCGGAGCCUGCGCGCGGCCCGGGGCGAGGGCUCGCGGGGCGGCGCGGAGAACGAGCGCGGCGAGGAGGACGGCGGCGGCGAGGAGGAGGACGCCGAGAAGGACGGCUCCGGCCCGGAAGGCGGUGGCGCCGCGCCCCGGCCGGGCGGCGGGCUCGGGCUCAGGGCCCAGGAGGAACUGCUGCUGCUCUUCACCAUGGCCUCGCUGCACCCGGCCUUCUCCUUCCACCAGCGCGUCACCCUGAGGGAGCACCUGGAGAGGCUCCGCGCCGCGCUCCGCGGGGGCGCCGAGGACGUAGAGGCGGCGCCGGGCCACUUGGCCGGCGCCCGGGCCCAGGUAAGGCGCGCCGGCCUCCCCGCGCCCGCGCGGCGGUCCCCGCGGCCUCCGCGCCCGGCUCCCGGACGUCCCCCGGCCCGGCCGACCCUGACCCCGGCGCCGGGACUGAUGUGCGUCCGGCCGGGCCGCUCAGCCCCGCUCCCCUCACACACAUACACACACACGAGCGCCCGCCAUAACAGAAUGCUCUGGAAGUCUCGUCCCGCCGGGGUUGCCCCGGAAGCCCGGCGCUCAGCCCGGCCCUCGGACGCGGGCUCUCGGGACCUUUCGGCCCCGACACUUGGUCGGGGCUGCGGAGCCCGGGCCGGCCGCCGCCCCGCCGCCUGGCGCUCCGCCCGCGCGUCCCGAGGCCCCGCUCGCCCCCCGGGGGCGGCGGCCCCAGGCGCGCUCCCGGCGCGCUCCGCGGUGGCCUGA